GAGUACGGUCGCAAGAUUAAAACUCAAAUGAAUUGACGGGGGCCCGCACAAGCGGUGGAGCAUGUGGUUUAAUUCGAUGCAACGCGAAGAACCUUACCUACUCUUGACAUCCAGAGAAGCCAGCGGAGACGCAGGUGUGCCUUCGGGAGCUCUGAGACAGGUGCUGCAUGGCUGUCGUCAGCUCGUGUUGUGAAAUGUUGGGUUAAGUCCCGCAACGAGCGCAACCCUUAUCCUUGUUUGCCAGCGAGUAAUGUCGGGAACUCCAGGGAGACUGCCGGUGAUAAACCGGAGGAAGGUGGGGACGACGUCAAGUCAUCAUGGCCCUUACGAGUAGGGCUACACACGUGCUACAAUGGCGCAUACAGAGGGCAGCAAGCUAGCGAUAGUGAGCGAAUCCCAAAAAGUGCGUCGUAGUCCGGAUUGGAGUCUGCAACUCGACUCCAUGAAGUCGGAAUCGCUAGUAAUCGUGAAUCAGAAUGUCACGGUGAAUACGUUCCCGGGCCUUGUACACACCGCCCGUCACACCAUGGGAGUGGGCUGCAAAAGAAGUGGGUAGUUUAACC
rnacentral:rRNA from 1 species